UACGAGGGGUGCAAGCGUUGCUCGGAAUUAUUGGGCGUAAAGGGUUGGUAGGUGGUCUUGUUUGUCUAGGGUGAAAUCCCAUGGCUUAACUGUGGAAGUGCCCUAGAAACGGUAAGACUAGAGUCCUAGAGGGGUUUGUGGAAUUCCCGGUGUAGCGGUGAAAUGCGUAGAGAUCGGGAGGAACACCAGCGGCGAAGGCGGCAAACUGGAUAGGCACUGACACUCAACAACGAAAGCGUGGGGAGCAAACAGG
rnacentral:rRNA from 1 species